GAGGGUGCCGUUGGGCGUCAGCCAGUUGACGGACGUCAUGGAGGUGCCCGUGCGACACUUGAGCUCGGCGGCCAUGCCCUCGGUGACGUUGAGGUCCGUGGGCGGCUCCACGAUGACGGGCGCGUAGCAGGAGAGAGGAGAGCAGCUGCCCAUCCAAGGUUCUGUGAUGGGCGCCCACGGCAUCUGCGUUCGUGACCGCCUGACCGGAAACGACCCCGACGUCUGUCAGCCCCGGAGAGGCACACGCUGUGUGUCCGUCCGUCUCUACGGUGGAACACGAUUAUCCACACACACCACGAAUCUCGUGGGCCGGCAUCGCGUUGAGCAAAAGAAGCCAGGCCCAAGAAGGCGCGUGUGGUGGGGUCCCGUCCGUUCCACGUCGUUCGUGUGCUAAGAGGCCCUCUCUGAGUGUGUGUAUGUGUGUGUGUGGGGGGGGGGGGGGGCAGGCCAGGCGGGAAAGGGGCGUGAGAGAACUUUCUGGGGAUGAUGGAAAUGUUCCCAAUCGGGGCGGUGGCUACGUGGAUGAAUAAGAUGGUCAGACCUCCCCGAACUGUUCAGAUAAAAGGGGGGCAUUUCAUUAUAUGUAAAUUACACUCCAGUAUGUAAAUUACACCUCCAUAAAAAAAAGGAUUAAAAAUACUUACACCAACAGUUAA